GGGGAUGAAACGGAUUCGACGGGGACAUAUAAGCUUGGGCUGCAUGUCGAGUUCUGAUAACUCGUUAAACUGUCAGACUUUAAACAUAAUCGCAGACGAUUAUGCACACGCUGUAGCAGCUUAACCUGCUACCGUUCACCAUAACCCCCUCCCACGGGGUUUUGAUUGAACGUCGCUAAUGUGGGAUAGCCUGUCGGCUGCGACUGCCGGCUGACGGGCGAAAACAAAGCAGGAUAGUGUCGGAAAUUCUUGUUCUGGAGAUGCUCUGACACGAUAAAAAAAACUUGUACAGGACUAAACAUGUAGACGCCUGCAGGGGAGUGUUUUCGGACGCGGGUUCGACUCCCGCCAUCUCCACCA
rnacentral:tmRNA from 1 species